AAAUAUUUACGCCUUUGUCUGAACUCUCCAAACUUCUUCUCUCUUUUAGCAGUCUGGCUGCCAAAAUUCCGAGGAAAAAUCACAAAUGGGUCGAGAGUCCAGAUGCUGCCAUCUGGCGGGAGAAAUUUAUUUGGCGGGUAAUUUUAAAAUUGUAAAAGUAAGCAUGAUAAUUGAAAUUAUCCAGCAGAAGUAAAUGAUGGCCAGAAUAUCUGGGUUUAAAAUUAUACAAUGGUAGACAUUUACUAAGCCGGAAGACGACAUGCUGUACAGAUUGGAGGCCAAUCAUUGGAUAAACAGAAAAGAAUCUAUUCUACCGAAAUUUCGCGACUACAUGCGAAAGUUAGAUCGUGAUUGUUAUUUCAAUUCCUAAGCGUGCCAGUUUACAUUUUUAACGCCGAUACCGGAAGCCAGAAUCCAGAGAAUACCAAUUCAUCUUCUGAAGCCCUUAAUGCAACUCAGACUGGCAAGUAAAUAUGCUUGUCACAUCACCGUCGAUGGUAUUACCCUUACUCUCUCCCCCACAAAACCAUGUCCACACUGCCAGCUACAAGUACCCGAAACGACUCUACAUUACAUCUGUGACUGCCCACUCUUCACCGAAAAUAGAUUGAAAAACCUCAAAGACUGGGUCAUUCGCACUUGCCUUCUACAACUUUCAUCAUCAAUCCUCGAGGACUCCAGUUAAGGUAAAAGCCCCAAUAGAUGAUCAUGUACCAGUAUAUGAUCACUCCAUGUAUUUGUAUACCU